rnacentral:rRNA from 1 species
UACGUAGGGGGCUAGCGUUGUCCGGAUUUAUUGGGCGUAAAGAGCGUGUAGGCGGCCAGGUAGGUCUGCUGUGAAAACUCGAGGCUCAACCUCGAGACGCCGAUGGAAACCCCCGAACUAGAGUCCGGAAGAGGAGAGUGGAAUUCCUGGUGUAGCGGUGAAAUGCGCAGAUAUCAGGAAGAACACCCGUGGCUAAGGCGGCUCUCUAGUACGGUACUGACGCUGAGACGCGAAAGCGUGGGGAGCGAACAGG